rnacentral:rRNA from 1 species
UACGUAGGGACCGAGCGUUGUCCGGAAUCAUUGGGCGUAAAGAGCGUGUAGGCGGCUUUCUAAGUCUUGCGUGAAAUCUCGGGGCUCAACCCCGAGCGGUCGUGGGAAACUGGCAGGCUAGAGUGCGGGAGAGGAGAAUGGAAUUCCUGGUGUAGCGGUGAAAUGCGCAGAUAUCAGGAAGAACACCCGUGGCGAAGGCGGUUCUCUGGGACGGUACUGACGCUGAGACGCGAAAGCGUGGGGAGCGAACAGG